rnacentral:rRNA from 1 species
AUGCAAGUCGGACGCGAAAGUUCCCUUCGGGGAGCUAGUAGAGUGGCGCACGGGUGAGUAACACGUAGGUAAUCUACCUUCGGAUGGGGAAUAACACCGAGAAAUCGGUGCUAAUACCGCAUAAUGCAGCGGCACCUAAUGGUGACAGUUGUUAAAGCGGGGGAUCGAAAGACCUCGCGUCUGAAGAGGAGCCUGCGGCAGAUUAGCUAGUUGGUAAGGUAACGGCUUACCAAGGCGAUGAUCUGUAGCCGGCCUGAGAGGGCGGUCGGCCACACUGACACUGACAUACGGGUCAGACUCCUACGGGAGGCAGCAGUCGGGAAUUUUGGGCAAUGGGCGAAAGCCUGACCCAGCAACGCCGCGUGAAGGAUGAAAUCCCUCGGGAUGUAAACUUCGCAAGAACAGGAAGAAUAAGUGAGAGUUAACACCUCUUACGAUGACGGUACUGUUUGUAAGCUCCGGCUAACUCCGUGCCAGCAGCCGCGGUAAUACGGGGGGAGCAAGCGUUGUUCGGAUUUACUGGGCGUAAAGGGCGCGUAGGCGGCCACCGCAAGUCGAUUGUGAAAUCUCCGGGCUUAACUCGGAAAGGUCAACCGAUACUGCGGGGCUAGAGUGCAGAAGGGGCAACUGGAAUUCUCGGUGUAGCGGUGAAAUGCGUAGAUAUCGAGAGGAACACCUGCGGCGAAGGCGGGUUGCUGGGCUGACACUGACGCUGAUGUGCGAAAGCUAGGGGAGCGAACGGGAUUAGAUACCCCGGUAGUCCUAGCCUUAAACGAUGAAUGCUUGGUGUCUGGGGUUUUAUAGUCCCCGGGUGCCGUCGCUAACGCUUUAAGCAUUCCGCCUGGGGA